rnacentral:rRNA from 1 species
UACACUCCUACGGGAGGCAGCAGUGGGGAAUUUUGGACAAUGGGCGAAAGCCUGAUCCAGCAAUGCCGCGUGUGUGAAGAAGGCCUUCGGGUUGUAAAGCACUUUUGUCCGGAAAGAAAUCCUUGGCUCUAAUACAGUCGGGGGAUGACGGUACCGGAAGAAUAAGCACCGGCUAACUACGUGCCAGCAGCCGCGGUAAUACGUAGGGUGCGAGCGUUAAUCGGAAUUACUGGGCGUAAAGCGUGCGCAGGCGGUUUGCUAAGACCGAUGUGAAAUCCCCGGGCUCAACCUGGGAACUGCAUUGGUGACUGGCAGGCUAGAGUAUGGCAGAGGGGGGUAGAAUUCCACGUGUAGCAGUGAAAUGCGUAGAGAUGUGGAGGAAUACCGAUGGCGAAGGCAGCCCCCUGGGCCAAUACUGACGCUCAUGCACGAAAGCGUGGGGAGCAAACAGGAUUAGAAACCCCUGUAGUCCC